rnacentral:misc_RNA from 1 species
GAUUCCACUAUUUGAAUGCACAAGGCUCACGCCAGGUUCAUAGGGCAAUGAUGGGUAGCCAAAGGGAAAUUCUAGUGUUGGAAGAAGAUAACAAGAGCUUGAUGGAAACUAGAGUUCGAGCAUUAGCACUACAGUUUGAUGAGAACGUGUCAAUAGAAUCAAAGUUGAAUGCGUAUAAUGGUUUUCGAGGAGUUCUUUAUGCAAUGAGAAAUGUUAGU